GAGAGAGAUCUGAAGAGGUCCUACCUAUUUGGACGAAACACGGCGUGAGCCCAGUUCUUAAUACUGGCAUGCUUUCCCCCCAGAGCAUAUAGAGCAAUGACAGCUUGGUUCUGGUCUCCAGUGUGGAUUAUAUAUCUCCAUCUCGGUGUGCAUCAUGCUAUUGCAGAGAACGUAUCAAAUGUGAAUUAGGAGACACAGUAUUCCUUCAGCCCAACAUCAGUGUUAAAGGCGAUGACAGCGUGAGGUGGUCAUUUAAUGAUAAACUGCUGAUAAAAGAUAAUAUGACAAAUAAUCCAAGAAAGUAUGUGAGAUCAGUGCACGGAGACCUGAUUAUAUGCAGAGGACACAAAAGUGAUUCUGGUUCAUACAAGGUUGAGAUAUUCAAGAGAUCAGAAACACGGAGAAAACAGCGAACAAUCAAUCUCACGAUCAAAGGCUUCAUUUCAGUGAUUUCAGGUGAUCCCUUAAACCUUUGUGAGACCAAGCCUUGCAACAACGUUAAUGGAAGUGAACAUGUGACAUGUGAACAUGUGACAUGUGAGCAAACCACUAGACGAGGACACUUGUCAACCAUUGUAGUCCUGUCAUCCUUUGUAUUGUUGUGUUUGUGAAAUCAAUGAAGAAAACUCCAUCAACAAGGAAAGAAGAUGCUAAUGAGAAUAUAUACCAAGAGAGGUAACCUACUGAGAAAGACUCCGACAGCAGAGAACACCGCUUUAGAUCCAAAUUCCUCACAUU